rnacentral:rRNA from 2 species
UACGGAGGGAGCUAGCGUUGUUCGGAAUUACUGGGCGUAAAGCGCACGUAGGCGGCGACUCAAGUCAGAGGUGAAAGCCUGGAGCUCAACUCCAGAACUGCCUUUGAAACUAGGUCGCUAGAAUCUUGGAGAGGCGAGUGGAAUUCCGAGUGUAGAGGUGAAAUUCGUAGAUAUUCGGAAGAACACCAGUGGCGAAGGCGACUCGCUGGACAAGUAUUGACGCUGAGGUGCGAAAGCGUGGGGAGCAAACAGG